rnacentral:lncRNA from 10 species
GCCAGGGAGCGUCCUGUGAUGGAGGGGCUGCACUGCCACUUUACUGAUGAGGAAAUUAAGGUUCAGAGAGAUGAGGUCAUUUCUUAGAGGCCAGACAGCCUCCUCAGCCCAUUUAUAAGGUUGUUUCUGUGGUAUUUGCCAUAAAGCCAUAGGUUCAUUGAUUUGUUCUUAAGUAGUUCUGAGCCCUUCCUGCAUAUCAGGCAGGGACAAACAGGAAAGUCCCUGCCUUUGGCAAGUGCGGGGGAAAUGAAAUGAUUCUGCUUAGCCGCAUCCAUUGGUCUGAACAAUCACGUCUCAUGACCGCAGGGACGCGGCUUCCCCUGAAUGCGGAUCCUAGAGGCCAGGCAGAAGCAGCAUGGGUUUCCACUCACACGGUUGACUCACAGUUUGGAGCAAGAAUUAAAGAACCACGAACUUCAAGGUAAAACGGGCAACGGCGUUGGGGCAAGCCUCUCUGCACCUGCGUGUCCAGCCUCUCCUGCAUGCCAGAAGUCCCCAGGCAGGAGUGUGGUGGGACAUCCGGCUGGGGUAAGGACAGGCACCCUCCCACAGUGUCAGGGCCCAGAGAG